CCUACGGGUGGCUGCAGUGAGGAAUAUUGCACAAUGGGCGCAAGCCUGAUGCAGCGAUGCCGUGUGCGGGAUGAAGGAGCUUUGCUUCGUAAACCGCUGUCGGGUGGGACGAAAGGUGCCUUUGGGGCACUGGGACGGUACCACUAAAGGAAGGGACGGCUAACUACGUGCCAGCAGCCGCGGUAAUACGUAGGUCCCAAGCGUUGUCCGGAAUUACUGGGUGUAAAGGGUGCGCAGGCGGCCAUGUGCGUCAGAGGUGAAAUCUCCCUGCUCAA
rnacentral:rRNA from 1 species